GUUACGAUUUUCACCUCGGUACGCGUCAGAUGGGAAGGUUCGCACCAUGUACGGACGGAAGAAGGCUGCAAACCGUACGGUGUCGUGAACCCAACCUUUGCGGAGGUCAUUUUUAUAUGUCGCCGAUUAUUCGCGAAUAUUCCUUUGGGUUGUUGUUCGCGACGUGUCAUAAAAUGACUUACACUAAUUCACAUGUCCAAAUUCCAAGGAAAUUUUAAUAUAAUUUGGAUUGUUAAUGGGAGUCAUUAAAAUCUGCCUGCGGUAAUCCACUAACAUCACAAUUGGAAAUAGAAUAUGACGCUAAUUCAUCUAAUUGUUAUUGUUUCGACGUCUCGUCAAAGUGACCGGUAAGAUGGACUGUGCGUCGUGGUUUUUAAUUAGCGAGCCUUGUCGUUACCUAGGAAUUGUUUGUUUAAUGGUGGAAUAACUACAUGCGAACACGAGCACUGUUAUCGAGUCGGUGAAUUGAUAUUGACGCUGUGAUUGACAACUGGAAGUUUCCCGGUGGAAUUCGCCAACGUUGGGAAAUGAUCGAGUUACUUUACCAUUUACUUUAUUAUGUGUUUUAUUUAAUAAAGUCUUAUUUUUUA